GCUCAGAACGAACGCUGGCGGCAGGCUUAACACAUGCAAGUCGAGCGCACCUUCGGGUGAGCGGCGGACGGGUGAGUAACGCGUGGGAAUAUGCCUCUUGGUACGGAAUAGCCUCUGGAAACGGAGAGUAAUACCGUAUGUGCCCUUUGGGGGAAAGAUUUAUCGCCAAGAGAUUAGCCCGCGUUAGAUUAGUUAGUUGGUAAGGUAACGGCUUACCAAGGCAGCGAUGGCUAGGGGCCCUGAGAGGGGGAUCCCCCACACUGGUACUGAGACACGGACCAGACUCCUACGGGAGGCAGCAGUGAGGAAUAUUGGACAAUGGUGGGAACACUGAUCCAGCCAUGCCGCGUGCAGGAUGACUGCCCUAUGGGUUGUAAACUGCUUUUAUACGGGAAGAAACCCAGGUACGUGUACCUGGCUGACGGUACCGUAAGAAUAAGGACCGGCUAACUCCGUGCCAGCAGCCGCGGUAAUACGGAGGGUCCGAGCGUUAUCCGGAAUCAUUGGGUUUAAAGGGUCCGUAGGCGGGCCAAUAAGUCAGAGGUGAAAGGCCACGGCUCAACCGUGGGACUGCCUUUGAUACUGUUGGUCUUGAGUCAUAGUGGGGUUGCCGGAACAUGUGGUGUAGCGGUGAAAUGCAUAGAUAUCACAUAGAACACCGAUCGCGAAGGCAGGUGGCCAACUAUGUACUGACGCUGAUGGACGAAAGCGUGGGGAGCGAACGGGAUUAGAUACCCCGGUAGUCCACGCCGUAAACGAUGGAUACUAGCUGUGGGGACUUCGGUCUCCGUGGCCAAGCGAAAGUGAUAAGUAUCCCACCUGGGGAGUACGUUCGCAAGAAUGAAACUCAAA
rnacentral:rRNA from 1 species